rnacentral:rRNA from 1 species
AUGAACGCUGGCGGCGUGCCUAAUCCCUGCAAGUCGAGCGAACAGACGAGGAGCUUGCUCCUCUGACGUUAGCGGCGGACGGGUGAGUAACACGUGGAUAACCUACCUAUAAGACUGGGAUAACUUCGGGAAACCGGAGCUAAUACCGGAUAAUAUAUUGAACCGCAUGGUUCAAUAGUGAAAGACGGUUUUGCUGUCACUUAUAGAUGGAUCCGCGCCGCAUUAGCUAGUUGGUAAGGUAACGGCUUACCAAGGCGACGAUGCGUAGCCGACCUGAGAGGGUGAUCGGCCACACUGGAACUGAGACACGGUCCAGACUCCUACGGGAGGCAGCAGUAGGGAAUCUUCCGCAAUGGGCGAAAGCCUGACGGAGCAACGCCGCGUGAGUGAUGAAGGUCUUCGGAUCGUAAAACUCUGUUAUUAGGGAAGAACAAAUGUGUAAGUAACUAUGCACGUCUUGACGGUACCUAAUCAGGAAGCCACGGCUAACUACGUG